rnacentral:rRNA from 1 species
GAUGAACGCUCGCGGCAGGCCUAACACAUGCAAGUCGAGGGGGAAGUUACUUUCGGGUGACUGAGACCGGCGUACGGGUGCGUAACGCGUAUACAAUCUGCCUUUCACUGGGGGAUAGCCCGAAGAAAUUUGGAUUAAUACCCCAUAGUAUAUAGGGACGGCAUCGUUUUUAUAUUAAAGCUUAGGUGGUGAAAGAUGAGUAUGCGUUCUAUUAGCUAGUUGGAGAGGUAACGGCUCCCCAAGGCGAUGAUAGAUAGGGGUUCUGAGAGGGAUGUCCCCCACACUGGUACUGAGAUACGGACCAGACUCCUACGGGAGGCAGCAGUGAGGAAUAUUGGACAAUGGUCGGAAGACUGAUCCAGCCAUGCCGCGUGCAGGAUGAAGGUCUUAUGGAUUGUAAACUGCUUUUGUAAGGGAAGAAUAAGGGCUACGCGUAGUUUGAUGACGGUACCUUACGAAUAAGCAGCGGCUAACUCCGUG